UACAGAGACUGCAAGCGUUAUUCGGAUUCACUGGGCGUAAAGGGUGCGCAGGCGGCCGUGUGUGUAAGGUGUGAAAUCCCGAGGCUCAACCUCGGAACUGCGCCUUAAACUACAUGGCUAGAGUAUCGGAGAGGGUAGUGGAAUUCACGGUGUAGCAGUGAAAUGCGUAGAUAUCGUGAGGAACACCAGAGGCGAAGGCGACUACCUGGACGAUUACUGACGCUCAGGCACGAAAGCGUGGGGAGCAAAAGGG
rnacentral:misc_RNA from 1 species